CCUACGGGAGGCAGCAGUGAGGAAUAUUGGUCAAUGGACGAGAGUCUGAACCAGCCAAGUAGCGUGAAGGAUGACUGCCCUAUGGGUUGUAAACUUCUUUUAUAUGGGAAUAAAAUGUUCCACGUGUGGGAUUUUGUAUGUACCAUAUGAAUAAGGAUCGGCUAACUCAGUGCCAGCAGCCUCGGUAAUACGGAGGAUCCGAGCGUUAUCCGGAUUGAUUGGGUUUAAAGGGAGCGUAGGUGGAUUGUUAAGUAAGUUGUGAAAGUUUGCGGCUCAACCGUAAAAUUGCAGUUGAAACUGGCAGUCUUGAGUACAGUAGAGGUGGGCGGAAUUCGUGGUGUAGCGGUGAAAUGCUUAGAUAUCACGAAGAACUCCGAUUGCGAAGGCAGCUCACUGGACUGCAACUGACACUGAGGCUCGAAAGUGUGGGUAUCAAACAGGAUUAGAUACCCUUGUAGUC
rnacentral:rRNA from 1 species